CCCUCCCGCCCCUUCCCAGAUACUCAGCUUUUUGUCCUGCAUCUAAUGUUUUCAUUAGGAAACUGGGCGCAACCAAGUCAAGGAGGGAAGGAUUAGAGAGCAAGAGAGCAAACGCAGGGCAAAGAGGGAAAGAGGGAGUUUCUGGAGGAGAAGAAUUUUUUGGUUUUUCAGUGUGAUUUUGAAUUAAAGGAGAACUUGGGGUUCUCACAUUUUCUCUUUUUUCUUUCCUUCACACUCUCUCCACUCUUUGACACCAGCUGCUUGCCAGCUUUUAUCAUGAUCUGCCCUUCCAGCUCCUCCAUUGGAUUCCUCCUCCUCCUGAUUGGCUACGCUGCAGCAGAAAGUCGAGGACACAGUUGAGAAGUUGGAGGUUGAGCUCACAACUCUUCUGGAAUCUAUUAAUGCCCCCAAAUGGCGCCCCCUGUUGGACAAUAUGGGACAGACAACUGUGGACAUCCUGGAAGCUCCAGAGCAGAGUCAGUCCUGAACCAAGCAGACACUGAUGGAGAAGGGACUUGAAGAAGCAAUUAAACUUUGAAUGGUUUAUUCUGUUUUCAUGACCUAAAUGUUAACUUUUACAGAAACUUUGUAUGCAUAUAUUCUGUAUAUCAAAAUGAAAUUUGUAUUAUAAAAGAGGAUGCUUUUUUUUGUUGCACGUCACGCUUCUCUAAAUUAUUUACUCCUACUAAUCCUGUGACAGCCUCGUGAUCUCUUUUCCAGACUCUUUCUCAGGCUCAGAGUCUCCCUCCUGCAGUCAGUAGUGACCCAGUUCAUGUUUACCUUCUCAACGAGACUGAUUCACUUUGGAAACCUCUGCUCAGUAAAUGCACACCCCUGCUCUCUACCGCCCUCUAAUGCCUGCAGCCAAACUGUGCCUUAACCCUUAGAUGCACAAGCGAUCGGACCCUACACUCUUCCAUAAGUGGAUCAAAAAUGACCCGAAUAAGAAUUAAUGUGUUUUUAUGUCAUUUUGUUAAAGAAUAAUCAUUUGUAUUAUAUUUUGG
ensembl:lncRNA